UGGUAGGAUCUGGUGCCCUUGGGUGUGAGUUCUUGAAGAAUUUGGCUUUGAUGGGGGUCUCUUGUCGUGAGAAAGGGAGGCUGACAAUUACAGAUGAUGAUGUCAUUGAAAAGAGUAACCUUAGUAGGCAGUUUCUCUUCCGCGACUGGAACAUUGGACAGGCUAAAUCAAUCGUAGCUGCUUCUGCCGCUGCUUUGAUAAAUCCUCAUCUCAACAUUGAAGCGCUGCAGAACCGUGCUAGUCCUGAGACUGAGAGUGUUUUUAAUGAUACAUUCUGGGAGAAUCUAAGCGUUGUCAUAAAUGCUUUGGAUAAUGUGAAUGCUAG
rnacentral:misc_RNA from 1 species